rnacentral:lncRNA from 1 species
CUGGCAAGCAUGAGGUCCUGAGUUCAAGUUCCAGUACCAAAAAAAAAAAAAAAAAAAAAAAAAAAACUACAGCAGAUCCAUUGCACCAGCCACUGGACAGCAGUGAAAAAGCCACGACCUUGUCUUCCAAAUCAGUCAUUUACCAAAAACAAAAACAAAAACAAAAACAAAAACCCUCUAUUCUGAAGAUAUUCGACUCAUCCAAGCAAAAUAAAACCCUAGAAUUCUUAGAACUUCUACAUCAAAUGCUAAACCAGGUCUCCUAAACCACGCAAGACGCUGGUGAUGUGAGCUCGGAGGAGAAGAUCGCUGCUGAACCCACUCUUUUUCUGCCUUCCCCACCGACAGUGUUUGCUAUCCACACUCCUAAGCGCACCCGGGCCCUCGGGGACACCUGCCCCAGGCCGCGUCCUCGCGCGUGUGGGCCACAUACCUGUUGUUUUCUUUCUUUCUUUUUCUUUCUUUUUUUCUUAUUUUGCUGUAAUCCAGUUAAAUAUUUGUCCAGGUCCCCGUGAGUUUGCUUUGGUUUUUCCAGGUAUGUUUCCCUUCUGUUUGUUUUUUCUUAAUUUUUUUUUAAAUUUUUUGUCUGUCUGAGAUAGGGUGUCGCUAUGCGGUUCAGGCUGGACUUGAGCUCACUGUGUAACCCAGGCUGGUCUCAAACUCCUAAGGAUCCUCCUGCCUCAGCCUCCUGAACACUGGGGUUGCAGGCGUGCGCCCCACACCCAGCGUCUGUGUCUUGGUUUAGAGCCGUGUAUGACCCCUGUGAUUAUGAGGAGCCCAGGGUAGAUAGGCCGAGCUCGCGCUAAUCCUCACACCGACACUGCGAAAUAGAUCUUAGUGUCCCCAUUUGAGAGACAAGGAAAGAUGCCCAGAGAGGCCAAGUGGCUUCCCGGGGUCACCCAGCUGCUGGGCGGCGGGGUCAGAGCGGCUGCCAGGUCCCGGGCUGCUCUGGCUAAGGCGGCCGCAGAGCCCGCAGCUCCCCGGGCUCCCGGCAGGUGGCGCUGCGGCCCCCGAUCAGCAGGAGCGCCCAGCCCGCCCUUUUGUCUCCCAGGCGGCUGCAGCCCGGAGGUCACCCCGACCGCAGCUCGGGAAGGCGGCGAUGGCGCAGAAGCCCUGGAAAGGGACAGCAGCGCGCUGAGUCUCUCCGGACUCUUCCAGUUGGACGAUAGCUGUGAAACGGCUGGAACCCUGGAGACAGGAAGAGACCGUGAUGAGCAGGAAAGGGCGCUGAGCAGCGUGGAAGAGGAGCACGCAGGCAUCCAGCCACCCACGGCGCCACCCAGCGUCCCCUUUCCAGAGGACUGACCUUCGGCGCCAUGCAUUGCUCUAAGCUGGCCAGGCUGCACACCAUCCGCCUCCUAGGGAGAGAGAGGCUGCCGUGGUACUGUGAUUACACUCUUAUUCCUCAAGGCAAGAGGCCGUAGCUCGGCCAUGGAUGUGCCCCCAGUUCACGCCCAAGGACUCACGGCACCUGACUUCAGGCGCUGCAUCCUGGGAUGUCAGAUGUGUGGCGGCAUCGCGGGCCUCUACCCAGGAGGUAUCAGCGGCACACCAUGCCAUGCCUGCCUUCCCACCCCGAACAGUGACAAUCAGUGUUGCCUUCACUGCUGCCAAAGUCCCUGGGGACCCACUCAGCCAGCAGGGGAGCCAUCUGUGUGCCACCUCUCCCCACCCGAGAGAAUGCCAAGCACUGACCCUCGCCAUGGUGGCUCCGCACGGUUGCUAUAGAUUUGUACAUUUUAAAAUUUAUGUUAGUUACUUUCAGCUAUUUUUUAUUUUACCUUCAUUCCUUUUCACUUGUUUUAGGGUUUCUAUUUUAUACUUUUAGUUACAUUUCAAACAUAUUUUCACAGCAAAUUUGUGUUUGGUUUUCAUUUUUCAGUUAUUUAAAGUUACUUUAUUUUGAGCCACAGAGUUCAGAUUAAUUGGAUUGUAAUUACUUACUUUUAAUGAUGUAUCUUUAUUAAUGUCUGAGUUUUGGUUUUUGGAGUUUUUGAGUUACUUAUUUUUAUAGCUACUUGACUGAAACUCACUGAAAGAUUUUGAGUUAUCUAUUUUUAGAGUGACACGUUCUUAGUCGCCUCAGACUCUCCUGAGUUACUUCGUUUUAGAGUUGCUCAUGGCCACAGAGUUUUUAAUUCCGUUAUUUUAGAGUCUGGAAUUUUUUCAUUCAUCUAUUUAUUAGUUAGUUUAUGUUACUUGGUGUUUAAUUAUUUGAUUUCCAAGGGUUAUUUUCCAACAUUGUAUUUCUGAAUCUUUAUGCUCACUUCAUUCUUUUCAUUACUUGCCGUUGCUUAGCUCUGGCUUUCCAGUUAUGUCUCUGCCAUUGGAAUGCAUUCUCUUCAUUUUUACAUGGCUCCUUUGAUUUAUUUUCAAAGUCAGUUAAGGUUAGAAUUACUUAGUAUAUCAACCAAUUUGAGAGAGAAAGAGAGAGGGAGAGAGAGAGAGAGAAAGAGGCUGGCCCAGUUAUGUUAACAGAGGAAUUCAGUGCUCCAGCAGUCAGAGAGUUUGGGAAGCAGUGAUACUGGGUGGAGAUGGUGGAGAUUUUACCUGCAAGAAGCAGCCACCAUCCCAGAGGCAAGGUGGAGACAAAGAGGAGAGGCUGGAAUUCUCCAAACUCAGACAUCUGGGGACAGCGGCUCUGGGCUCUAAGUAGACCAGGUCUGGGUCUCUGCAGGGGCACAACAGGAUGGUUUUGUUUUGCUUUGUUUUUGUAUUUUUGAGACAGGGUAUAUUACCAUAUGGUUCAGGCUGGCCUUGAACUCACUGUGUAGCCCAGGCUGGCCUCAAACUCAUAGCAAUCCUCCUGCUUCAGCCUCCCAAGGACUGGGAUUACAGGGGUAUACACCAUGCCCGGUUAACAACAGGGGUUGACGGGAGAGUUGGAGCCCCCAUGACUUCUGGGUGGGGAUAUUCCGGGGAGGCUGGCAGGAUCCAUGAGGGCACCUGUGUCUCCUCCACAGAGGAGGAGACAGAGAAGUCCCAGGCUCCCUCCCCAGCACCUCCAGCCCAGGACUAGUUAGUUCUGGUUCAGCGCUGGGAACUUUUAGAGGUGCCUAAACUUUGAGUGUCCCCCGGCUGCGGCCCGGUCUUGCGUCCUGGUUAUUUCUAGAGCUGCUAAGCCCAUCAGACCCAAGAAGACGCUCUGUCUCCCCAUGAGCACACAGGAAGCUGCCUUAGAACUUCAGAAAAUAAAGCCGGUGUGUUCCACUGAAUCCAUGACGGAAGGUCAGAGGUCACAGAGGGACAGAGACCCAGGGACAGGUGUCGGGGAGGCCCCAGGGAACCUCUGUCCUGCGAUCCCGAACUGCAGACCCUGCCUCUCUAGUCUCCUCUGCUACAGUGCGGUCUUUCUUGCUAAGUGUCUGAAGUGUAUAGACUUCUGCACAACAAAAUAAACUUCUUCCUGAUCUGUACAGUCUGCAACCAGAG